UACGUAGGGUGCGAGCGUUAAUCGGAAUUACUGGGCGUAAAGCGUGCGCAGGCGGUUCGUUGUGUCGGCGGUGAAAGCCCCGGGCUUAACCUGGGAAUGGCCGUUGAAACUGGCGAACUGGAGUGUGGCAGAGGGGGGUGGAACUCCGCGUGUAGCAGUGAAAUGCGUAGAGAUGCGGAGGAACACCGAUGGCGAAGGCAGCCCCCCUGGGGCUGACACUGACGCUCAGGCGACGAAAGCGUGGGGAGCAAACA
rnacentral:rRNA from 1 species